CACCAAGGGCAGCAGGAACGUGGGGGAGCUGCUGGCGGCCUUCGAGCUCAUCCAGAGGGAGAAGCCGGCUGUCCAUCACAUCCCCGGCUUCGAGAGUGAUUUGUCCUCCAGCCUGGACGAG